AUGGACUCUUCGUCCGAGGCGCCGCUGCUGCCCAGCAGGGGGAACGAGCACAAGGGGGUGCCCGAUGAGGCGGGAGGCAAGCGGCCGUGGUGGAGGGAAGCGGCGGAGGAGUCCGGCCGGCUGGCCGCGCUGGCUGCGCCGAUGAUCGCGGUGGCGCUGCUGCAGCUGUUGAUGCAGCUCAUCUCCACCGUCAUGGUGGGGCACCUCGGCGAGGUCGCGCUCGCUGGCGCCGCCAUCGCCAACUCCCUCACCAACGUCUCUGGCUUCAGCGUCCUCAUAGGACUGGCAUGCGCAUUGGAAACUAUUUGUGGGCAGGCCUAUGGAGCAGAACAGUAUCAUAAAUUAUCCUUAUAUACCUACAGGUCCAUCAUUGUACUUCUUAUUGUGAGUGUGCCCAUCGCCAUUGUAUGGGUUUUCAUUCCGGAAGUACUUCCUCUCAUAGGUCAGCAACCAGAAAUUGCAAAUGAGGCUGGGAAAUAUGCAUUGUGGCUUAUCCCUGGUUUAUUUGCCUUCAGUGUUGCUCAAUGCUUUUCAAAGUUUCUGCAGUGUCAGAGCCUCAUCUUUCCUAUGGUUCUUAGCUCCAUGAUCACACUCGCUGUAUUUAUUCCUCUGUGUUGGUUCCUGGUUUAUAAAGUUGGUAUGGGUAAUGCUGGAGCUGCUUUAUCCGUCAGCAUCUGCGAUUGGGUUGAAGUGAUUGUUCUUGGUCUUUACAUCAAGUUCUCACCUUCUUGUGAGAAAACACGUGCUCCACUCACGUGGGAAGCUUUUAAAGGAAUUGGCAGUUUCAUGAGUUUGGCUGUACCGUCGGCUCUUAUGAUUUGCCUUGAAUGGUGGUCUUACGAGCUGCUUGUUCUGCUUUCUGGGAUCUUACCAAAUCCAGCACUUGAAACUUCUGUGCUUUCUAUAUGCAUAUCUACAGUGGUGCUGUUGUACAAUCUUCCUUACGGUAUUGGAACAGCUGCAAGUGUGCGCGUCUCAAAUGAACUAGGUGCUGGCAACCCAGAAGGUGCUCGCUUGGUGGUAGGUGUUGCUUUGUCGAUUGUAGUUUGUUCAGCAGUCCUGGUGAGCACAACUCUUCUAGCCCUGCGCCACUUCAUUGGAAUUGCAUUCAGCAACGAGGAGGAGGUUGUAGAUUAUGUCACCAGAAUGGUACCCGUACUUUCCAUUUCAGUCAUUACAGACAGCUUCCAAGGAGUCCUUUCAGGUGUUUCUCGGGGCUGUGGAUGGCAGCAUUUAGGCGCGUAUGUCAACCUGGGUGCAUUCUAUCUUGUUGGGAUCCCCGUUGCACUCUUUUUUGGUUUUACAAUGCAACUACGAGGAAUGGGAUUUUGGAUUGGCAUGAUAGCUGGUGGAGCCACACAGGUCACUCUCCUAUCUGUGAUAACUGCCACUACAAAAUGGGACAAGAUGGCUGACAAGGCUAAGGAGAGAGUAUUUGAAGACAGGCUUCCAACACAAUAA
rnacentral:rRNA from 1 species